rnacentral:rRNA from 1 species
AUUGAACGCUGGCGGCAGGCCUAACACAUGCAAGUCGAACGAGUGGCGGACGGGUGAGUAAUGUCUGGGAAACUGCCUGAUGGAGGGGGAUAACUACUGGAAACGGUAGCUAAUACCGCAUACCAUCGGAUGUGCCCAGAUGGGAUUAGCUAGUAGGUGGGGCAACGGCUCACCUAGGCGACGAUCCCUAGCUGGUCUGAGAGGAUUACCAGCAACACUGGAGCUGAGACACGGUCCAGACUCCGACGGGAGGCAGCAGUGGGGAAUAUUGCACAGUGGGCGCAAGCCUGAUGCAGCCGUGCCGGGUGUAUGAAGAAGGCCUUCGGGUUGUAAAGUACUUUCAGCGGGGAGGCGUUACCCGCAGAAGAAGCACCGGCUAACUCCGUGCCAGCAGCCGCGGUAGUAC